CUACUGGGGUAUCUAAUCCUGUUUGAUACCCACGCCUUCGUGCUUCAGUGUCAGUCGCAGUAUGGCAAGCUGCCUUCGCAAUCGGAGUUCCUCGUGAUAUCUAUGCAUUUCACCGCUACACCACGAAUUCCGCCUGCCGCCACUGAACUCAAGCCCGGCAGUUUCAACGGCAGGCUGAACGUUGAGCGCUCAGGUUUCACCGCUGACUUACCGAACAACCUACGCACCCUUUAAACCCAAUAAAUCCGGAUAACGCUCGCAUCCUCCGUAUUACCGCGGCUGCUGGCAC
rnacentral:rRNA from 1 species